rnacentral:lncRNA from 1 species
AACAAAAAAAAGGCUCGAAAUUCAUUUCAAGCCGAGCUUGAGUAUUACUCGGCUUGUUCGAAUUAGGCUCGAAAAGCUCGAAAAGCUCGAAUAUAUAUAUAUAGUAGAGCUACUAUACUAUCGAAAGUAUACAAAUAUGGUGCUUUCAAUUUUUUAAUUCUUAGAUCAAUCCCUUUAAUCGUUUCUUAUCUUUGGAUUAAUAUUAUUAUUACCUUGUAGGGACCACUCAAUCCUAAGAUAGCGUUUGGUUAGGGGAUAGGGAUAGGAAUAGGCUCUUAUCCCCCCUUUAUACCCAAACGUUAAUUUUUUAUUCGAAAAUAGUAAUUCUUGGUUAUCCCCACCAACACCUCUAUUUUUUAUAUAAAACUAUCUAAAAUUGUUCUUAACUCCGGGAAUAACCCAAUUUUCAUCCAAACACUAUUUUUCUUAUCCCCAUAUUUGUACAUAUCCCUGUAAUAGCUAGUUCUUACUUAUACCCGAACCAAACAGUACCUAAGAGUAUUAUUUAAUCCUAGGGGAGACCGCAAUCAUCCCAACCAUACAAUUUUUAAUCAAAGGGUCAAAAAUUCAAAAACAUCAAAUCCUCUAUAUUUUCGAUAGCAUAGUAGUUCUACACUAUGCUAUAUAAAUAUAAUCUAUUUUAAUAAUAUAUAGGUUGAGUGAAUAAUGUGAGUUUAGUUAAAAUUAGGCCAAUAUUGUUGGCACAUAAAAACAAACCCAAUAGACAAAUAAAAAAGCAAACUUUUACUAAAUUUAUAUAUUUUUCCUUUCUUUCUUUCUUUCUUUCACAGAGCUCUAAAUUUUCAAUAUGUUUCUCUCUUUCUCUUUUUCUAUCUCUCACCCUAAGUGGCCAAGCCGGAAGCCCUCUAAGUUACCAAGUAACAUCAUAUGCCCACUGUUGCCUACUUUGCUAUUAAUUGGUAUGCUUGAGAAAAUA